rnacentral:rRNA from 1 species
AUUGAACGCUGGCGGCAUGCUUUACACAUGCAAGUCGAACGGUAACAGGCCUUCGGGCGCUGACGAGUGGCGAACGGGUGAGUAAUGCAUCGGAACGUGCCCAGUCGUGGGGGAUAACGCAGCGAAAGCUGUGCUAAUACCGCAUACGAUCUGCGGAUGAAAGCGGGGGACCUUCGGGCCUCGCGCGAUUGGAGCGGCCGAUGUCAGAUUAGGUAGUUGGUGGGGUAAAGGCUCACCAAGCCAACGAUCUGUAGCUGGUCUGAGAGGACGACCAGCCACACUGGGACUGAGACACGGCCCAGACUCCUACGGGAGGCAGCAGUGGGGAAUUUUGGACAAUGGGCGCAAGCCUGAGCCAGCAAUGCCGCGUGCAGGAAGAAGGCCUUCGGGUUGUAAACUGCUUUGUACGGAGCGAAAAGGCUCCCUCUAAUACAGGGGGCUCAUGACGGUACCGUAAGAAUAAGCACCGGCUAACUACGUGCCAGCCGCCGCUGUAAUAC